UUUCCGUAGGUGGACCUGCGGAAGGAUCAUUAUUGAAUAAACUUGGUGGGUUGUUGCUGGCUUUUCGGAGCAUGUGCACACCCAACCCAUUGUUUUUCUCCACCUGUGCACCAUUUGUAGACUUGGAUACCUCUCGGGGGAAACCCCGGUUUGAGGAUUGCUGGCUUCUUCAGAGGUCGGCUUUCCUUGCAUUUCCAGUCUAUGUUUUCAUAUACACUAUAAUGUUAUAGAAUGUCUUUUAUGGGCUUCAUUGCCUUUAAACUUAUACAACUUUCAACAACGGAUCUCUUGGCUCUC
rnacentral:misc_RNA from 1 species